UUUUACAAUGGAGAGUUUGAUCCUGGCUCAGGAUGAACGCUAGCUACAGGCUUAACACAUGCAAGUCGAGGGGAAACGACAUCGAAAGCUUGCUUUUGGUGGGCGUCGACCGGCGCACGGGUGAGUAACGCGUAUCCAACCUGCCCACCACUUGGGGAUAACCUUGCGAAAGUAAGACUAAUACCCAAUGAUAUCUCUAGAAGACAUCUGAAAGAGAUUAAAGAUUUAUCGGUGAUGGAUGGGGAUGCGUCUGAUUAGCUUGUUGGCGGGGUAACGGCCCACCAAGGCAACGAUCAGUAGGGGUUCUGAGAGGAAGGUCCCCCACAUUGGAACUGAGACACGGUCCAAACUCCUACGGGAGGCAGCAGUGAGGAAUAUUGGUCAAUGGGCGAGAGCCUGAACCAGCCAAGUAGCGUGCAGGA
rnacentral:rRNA from 1 species